rnacentral:lncRNA from 1 species
CGAGCCUCCAACUUUACCUUUCCAACUCCGACAGCCCGUCGCCUUUCUGACCACGUCCCUACGGUUUCCCGGCAUCCGCCUCCCUCACCCCACCACACCUGAGGAAAACUUUUCCCUCGCCCCUCAAUUCAAAUUCAGCAGUGCCCACGGUUGCCGCAAACCGCCCGGUCCCUAGCAACAAGGUUCCGGCCGUAGAGCGAGAGCCUCUAGGUGUAAGGAAGGUGAUGUCGUAAAGCCGGGAGUGUCGUAAACCAGCAGCUGUUUAAGGAAGACAGAGCAGGCAUUGGAUAAUAUUCUUAUUAAGCUCAGGACAGUCAGCUUACCCUGAGGCGCAUUGACCACUGGGAGAGAUGUGGAUAUAGAAAUCCAAUCAUGGAUCAUUAGGAAGAAGGAAGCGUUGGAUAGGCACUCAGCAUGGUCCACCACAGGUGCAUUAAGGAUUGUGUAUUACGUUUUUUACUUAUGUGAAACACCACCUUCCCCCAUCAAGCCUUUUUCAGUUUAAAUUCUCAACUGGCAAUUGGCCGAAAACUCCCAUCUGAAGACAUGAUCAUCCAAAUGUCAUUUUGUGAUUUGGCUACUGUCUGCUUGACAUAGGAAAGCACUAUCAAGAAAGACUAAUGGAGUGACUAUCAAAAGGAAGUCAAUGGACAACCUUAAACUUCCACCACAAGAGGAAUAUAAAGAGGUCCCUCCUGCACCAAGAAAGAUCUGCAGAUCUUUUUCAGUGUUCUUGGAGGUGUGGGGUGUGAGAACUUGAUCAGUUUGUGUCAGCCACCUUGUUCUCUAAAGGGAAAGCCCCUCAAACCAUUUUGUAUUCUGUAUUACACUUCAGAAAGUGUGGAAGCAAAGGUCAUCUAAUCUUUAAAAGUGAUCCUGAAGACUUUAGUUCUACAAAAUGUGAACUUCUUAUGGACCAUUAAAGUGGGGAGUAAUCUGCUGAUUUUUGUCUAGCAACCCUACCUCUGAUGCAGGAUAAUUUUUUGUCUUUUCAAAACCGUUGUUCUUCCUAUAGCUGUAUAAUAAAAGAUAUUAAAG